GACGAACGCUGGCGGCGUGCUUAACACAUGCAAGUCGAACGAAGUGGCGAACGGGUGAGUAACGCGUAAUCAACCUGCCCUUCAGAGGGGGACAACAGUUGGAAACGACUGCUAAUACCGCAUACUGAAGGAGGGGAGUGCGUCGGGUUGGCUAGGUGGAGGGGUAACGGCCCACCAAGGCGAGGAUCAGUAGCCGGUCUGAGAGGAUGAACGGCCACAUUUGGACUGAUACACGGCCCAGACUCCUACGGGAGGCAGCAGUGGGGAAUCUUCCGCCAUGGACGAAAGUCUGACGGCGCAACGCCGCGUGAGUGAUGAUGGCCUUCGGGUUGUAAAGCUCUGUUAAUCGGGACGCGGUACCUGAAUAGAAAGCCACGGCUAACUACGUGCCAGCAGCCGCGGUAAUUC
rnacentral:rRNA from 1 species